rnacentral:snoRNA from 1 species
AGCCUCCAAAUUCCCUCACCCCCAGAUGUCAAUAUGGGUCCUGGGUGGCUGAAAAAGGAGCAAGAGCAAAACUGAAGUGGACUGUGAGUCUUUAAUGGCAUCGAAGUUAAUUUCACACAAAG